rnacentral:rRNA from 1 species
UGAGGAAUUUUGCGCAAUGGGAGCAAUCCUGACCCAGCAAUGCCGCGUGAGUGAUGAAGGCCUUAGGGUUGUAAAGCUCUUUUACUGGGGAUGAUAAUGACAGUACCCAGAGAAUAAGCUCCGGCUAACUCCGUGCCAGCAGCCGCGGUAAUACGGAGGGAGCUAGCGUUGUUCGGAAUUACUGGGCGUAAAGCGCGCGUAGGCGGCUCAGCAAGUCAGGGGUGAAAUCCCGGGGCUCAACCCCGGAACUGCCUUUGAAACUGCUAGGCUAGAAUCCUGGAGAGGCGAGUGGAAUUCCGAGUGUAGAGGUGAAAUUCGUAGAUAUUCGGAAGAACACCAGUGGCGAAGGCGACUCGCUGGACAGGUAUUGACGCUGAGGUGCGAAAGCGUGGGGAGCAAACA